AAGGAGUCCAACAUCUACGCGAGUAUUAGAGUGGCAAACUCUGAUGCGCAAUGAAAGUGAAUGCAAAUGGGAUGGCGCUUGACGCCUGCACCAUUGACCGACAUCGAAGCCAUGUGCGGAAGUGUUUGAGUAGGAGCGUAACUGUUGGGACCCGAAAGAUGGUGAACUAUGCCUGAAUAGGGUGAAGCCAGAGGAAACUCUGGUGGAGGCUCGUAGCGGUUCUGACGUGCAAAUCGAUCGUCAAAUUUGGGUAUAGGGGCGAAAGACUAAUCGAACCAUCUAGUAGCUGGUUCCCUC
rnacentral:misc_RNA from 1 species